GGGGGGUGUUUAAUAGCAAACCCCGCCCCGCAGGGUCGACGCUGCUACGAGAGUCCCUGCGCCACUGUCUGAUGUGUACACUCCUCCACGCGACAGACGCGUGGCAACUCCAGACGAAGAAGAGAACCGGAGCGCGACACUGACGUGGGACGGUGGAAGAGUCAAACGUUAUUUGGUUGUUAUCACGUUAUUUGGCUGUUUGCACGUUGAUUGGCUGAGGACGCGGACUGGAAGCGCGGAAUUCGGUGUUUUCUGUGGUUUUGAAAAAGUGCGCGAUGUGUAGGCUCAAAUUUGAUAAAUAAGAGUGCAAACUAAAACCAUCUAGCGACUUAAAUCGUGUCAGUUUCCCUCCUAAGCGCGUUAAAUUACCUUCCUUGUAGGUAUUGCGUCGUUUCACUCGUUAUUCUAAUCAUAAUUGCGCACAAAGCUCCAUUCUGGAAACGUCGUACGCCCAUGGGCACGUUUUGUUUCAGUAACCUCCUCCUGCUGCGUCCGGACUUGAACUGUAGGACACAAACAGUUUCCUUCUUCCUCAAUACUUGCAUUCGUAAUUUGGUCAUGAGGAGAAAGUGGGUAAAUCGUUUUAAAUCAGCCUCAUAUUUGCUGUGAGAGCGGAGCGCAGCUGCAGGGAGGAGGAUCAACAAGUUGUCCGGAGCGCAGACAGAGUGACGCCGCGCCGCAGAGCGCACUGCAGCUCCGCUUUGUUUUCUGAACCUUAUCUCCUGAACCCAGACUAAUAGGGGCAAAAAGAAACUUUGCAGAAACUUCAGGAAAAAAAGGCGUGCAGCUCUGAUUGAGCCUUGGAUGCGUUGGAAAAGUUUUGCUCUUAAAGUUUUAAGUUUCUUGCUCCUAUCUUUGCAAGUCAUGACCUCUGGCAGGUCUAGGUCACUCAUGAACUUUGAAACUGGGUCAUCAAAGUGGCACAUCUGGAAAUAAGUGGCAAACAUGUAGAGAAGAUCUUUUCCUCUAAUGAAAAGUUUGAAUGAACAGUAACUUAUAAUAAACGUCAGCUGCAUGACAGUGAAGGUGAAAUACACAUAAAGGCAACUUUUUGAAUUUAGUUUUGCAGUUUUUACUUAUUCCCCUAGUUAAUUGCAGUUAAUUUCGUCCCAUAGAUUAAGGACAUUAAAGAUUUCAGUGGUGAGUUUAAAUAAAAACAGUAAUAAUGUAGAAGGACUCAAAAAUAACAGUUAUGCAUUGACAGAAGUGCAGCAGACUGAAAGUCAACUUUUUAAAUUUACUUUUGUACUUUACAUUCUUAAAAUAAACUCAUCAGGGUGAA